rnacentral:rRNA from 1 species
UACGAAGGGGGCUAGCGUUGUUCGGAAUCACUGGGCGUAAAGCGCACGUAGGCGGAUCUUUAAGUCAGGGGUGAAAUCCCGAGGCUCAACCUCGGAACUGCCUUUGAUACUGGGGAUCUCGAGUCCGGGAGAGGUGAGUGGAACUGCGAGUGUAGAGGUGAAAUUCGUAGAUAUUCGCAAGAACACCAGUGGCGAAGGCGGACUCACUGGCCCGGAACUGACGCUGAGGUGCGAAAGCGUGGGGAGCAA